UACGUAGGGUGCAAGCGUUAAUCGGAAUUACUGGGCGUAAAGCGUGCGCAGGCGGUGAUGUAAGACAGGUGUGAAAUCCCCGGGCUUAACCUGGGAACUGCAUUUGUGACUGCAUCGCUGGAGUGCGGCAGAGGGGGAUGGAAUUCCGCGUGUAGCAGUGAAAUGCGUAGAUAUGCGGAGGAACACCGAUGGCGAAGGCAAUCCCCUGGGCCUGCACUGACGCUCAUGCACGAAAGCGUGGGAGCGAAACAGG
rnacentral:rRNA from 1 species